rnacentral:rRNA from 1 species
UACAGAGGUCUCAAGCGUUGUUCGGAUUUAUUGGGCGUAAAGGGUGCGUAGGCUGCUUUGUUAGUUAGGUGUGAAAUUCUGGAGCUCAACUCCAAAAAUGCAUUUAAUACUGCAGAGCUAGAGUCUUGUCGAAGAAAUUGGAAUUUACGGUGUAGCAGUGAAAUGCGUAGAUAUCGUAAGGAAGACCAGUGGCGAAAGCGAAUUUCUAGUCAAGCACUGACGCUGAGGCACGAAAGCCGGGGGAGCAAACGGG